AAGGCCAGUUUCGAUUACCUUGACGCUCGAAGGUCACGGAGAUCAUUACGUAAAACGUGUCAUGCAGUGGUGUAGAGGUUGGGUGAGAAUGACACGUGUUGCUUCAUUAUCAAAAAGACCCAUCCCCGGCAAAGUCACCUGCAGAAGGAAAGGCCAGUUUGCAUUUCAAUCGAAGGUCAUGAAGAUCAUUACGUAAAAGGUGUCAGGUAUUGGUGUAGAGGUUGGGUGAAAACGGGACGUUUUGCUUCAUUAUCAAGAAGGUAAAAUAUAGCCAUUAGGCUUAAGAGGAGGGGUGAGAAAAAAUUGUAUUAAAGGCGAGAGAAAAGUUGACAGGGAUCAGUCGAGUGAGCAUCUCCGACCCGGCGACAACUUCAUUCUUCGUCGUAUUACCAGGUCGCAAUCACGGUUAACAAUGCCGUCAUGCUGCUAUUGGUUGUUGUAUCGUCGAUGGCUGGGUCGAUCACUGGUGUACCGACGUAUCCUGGUUAAGGCGGAUACCAAACCGCAACGCCACCGCCUUACUAAACAACAACCUGACAACAACAUACGCAACGACCAGAUACUACACCGAGGUUGCACUGUUGGGUUUACAGUUAAAUCACCAAGGAUCCAGAUGAUUUCACCACAACUUGUGCUGCUCCUCGAGCUACACUACCAAAGCGCUACAGUACUACACCGAGGCACCUACUGAGACUACGCAACUACGUAUGCUGCCCCAACCUACGACACCGAGGCUCCAGCUUAUUACAUCACCAAGGCUGUCGAAUUCUACACUGGAGCGCCCAAGUACGACAGAAAUCAGUCAAGUGAGCUUCUCCGACACCCAACACGGCAACCCCGAAGUUUCGAAUAAACUUCGUUUCAAACAGUGGAACGGCAAAGAGUGAAGAACAAGACGAAUUCGACUGCAAUCGCGUCGAAUUGAAUAGUAAAGAUAACAUAUUCGUACGUGUACACCGCGCCAUUAAACUUGACAUUUGCGGUCGGCAAGCCGCACUUGACGAUGGCCGUACCAUCACCUACGACAAGGGCGUUAUUGCCACAGGUGUUAAACGAAAAUCUUUUCCAAUCCCUGAGCGGUGCCCUUAAAGAUGCCCACGAGCACGUAGCGCUGUUCCGCAACAUCGAUGGUGGUAACAUAGGUCGAGUUCUCCGUUCCCCUAAAUAUUUGAGCCAAUGGACAACCGAGAAAGUGAAAGCGGAAAGUGUUAAUGUUUUGCCCAAAGCUAAUGUUGAGGGUGUAAUUUUGGAAGACUACAAGGUCGCAUUGUCCUUAAACAAUGGUCAAAAGAUUUAAACUGACAAUGUCGUCGUUGCUGUCGGUUGGGACGUAAACACGGAUUUGGCUGUUGCUUUUGGUUUGGAAAUAGAGGAGAGGAGAUUUUGGUGGUUAUCGAGUCAAUACCGAGCUUGAAGCACAAUCGAACGUUUGUUUGACUGGAGAUGUUACGUUCUUUUCUGAUAUCAAAUUGGGUCGCUGUUGUAUGGAACAUGUUCACCAUGCUGUUGUAUCAGGGCGAUUGGCUGGAGAGAACAAUACUGGCAAAGAAAUAUGGAUGAAAAACUGCAGUGCACUAUUACCAAGUGGAUUCUUCGUCGUAUUAUCAGUACGCAAUCGGUUGAUUGUGAUGUCGCCGUUUGCCGUAUCGUUGAAAGCUGGGUCGAUCACUGGUGUACCGAUGUCUCCUGGGUAUGGCGGGUACCAAAGCAUCACGCCGACGCCAUACUACACAACCUCAACAUUCGCAAAAAACGGUUACUACACUGAGGCACACUAUUACUACACCACCAAGGCUCCAGAGUAUUACACCGAAGCUGAUGCUGCCCCGAGUUACAUCAUCAAACGUACUACACCGAGGCCCCCUAGUUCCUAGCUACUAAACCGAGCCUCCAACUUAUUACACCACCAAAGCGGCUGAAUACUACACCGAGCCGUCCAAGUACUACACCAACAAGGCUCCAGAGUAUUACACCACAACUUUUGCUUCCCUGAGCCUCUACAUCGAAGCCCCGAAGUAUUACUCUGCCCUAAGCUACACAACUACAACUGAGGCGGCCAAGUACUACGCAGCCCCAACUUACUACACAGCGGCUGCUCCUUCGUACUACGUUGAACCGGAAUACUACACCUAGGCUUCAGUUUACUACACCACAACCUAUGCUACACCGAGGCCCCUAUGUACUACACUACCAAGGCACCUGAGUAUUAUAACACUACUUACGCUGCUCCGACCAACUACACCGAAGCUCCGAAGUAUUACUCUAUCCCGAGUUACUACACCACUAAGGCACCUGAAUAUUACACCACACCUUACGCUUCUCCAACUUACUACAGGGACGCUCCUAAAUAUUAUAAGUAUGUUCAGAUUUGUCGGUCAUAUCUUAAUAGUUACUAGUCACUGGGAAUUGUUGAUUUUUAAUAGGGAAAUAGUUUUUUUAAACCUGG